UUAGCCACUUGUGCAUUCACUGCUGGGAACCUGAAGUGAUCUGCUGCUUUCAGAACCAGAGAACAGAAACAGGGAAUUAUCUGGUAGUUGGAUAUGGGUCUGCUUAAAACCUCCCAUUCCAUUUGAACAACUUUGUCAAACUCUGGAGGGAAUAUGGAAUGCCAGGGGAGGUGGCUCUGCCCUACGGAAAAGCUCAAGAGUUGGAAAGGAUUACCAGGAUCAUCUAGUCCAACCCUCAUCAAUGCAGGAACUGCAGUUGUCUCUCUGAUAAAUAGGUCAGUUCUUGAAAACCUCCAAUAAUGAAGGAUCCAUCACUUCACAAGGGAGACUGUCAUAUACGACUGCCUGCAUAUCUGCCAUGAAUGUAUCCUGUGUUCUGUACUGGUCCUCUGAGGGCACGAGAAGUUUCUUAUUGGUGUUAAGGCAGUGGGUUAUUUCACAAGUAUUUACUUUCUCUUUCCUCGCUGCUUCCAGAAGUGUCCUUGAAAGCUGGUUGCAGCCAGCUUGAAAUGUAUCUUUCUUGGGAACUGAGAUGAUUUCAUUCUUUGUUCUGUCUAGUCUAAACCUAGCUUUUCCCUGACAACCCCCGUGGCUCUUUCACACCCACAAACUUUAACGGCCCUUAUCCUGAUGGUGGGAACGUUCCCUAUAACUAACAUCACCAACCCCAGUUCCGUCACUUCUGCCAAUGCACAUGUCUGAGCACCUUGAACUUGCUGGAUCUCUAAUAAAGUUACUUCCACCAAUA